CCAGGCAGCAUUGAUCCCCUUCUAAAAGAAAAAGAAGCGUGAUGCGGAUGCUUUUCGACAAUUCAUAGCUGAUGAUAGCGGGGAGCUUUAUCCAGGGUGCACACAACCUUCUUAAAGCUACAUUUUGUUGUUAGGUUACUCCAUAUCAAAUCUCUUGGAGGUUGGUUUCAUAAAAGUUCUGACAUGAUGCUAGAGUUGCUAAAAGAGGCCUUCCCAACAGCUACAUGCUUACCUACUUGACAUAUAAUGUGCCAUUAAUUUUCUUUUCAGGAAAAAGAAUGGAACAAGAAAGAUACUAAGAUAAUUUUGAAGAACGAGAGGAAGAAUGGAACAAGAAAGAGACUAAGACAAUGUUCAAGAACGAGAGGAAGAGAGGCUACCGAGAAUUAGAACAACAAAUGGCCAGGAUUUUGAAUGGUUUGGCCGCCUUACAUUUUCAAAUAUAAAUGAAGAAUUUGGAGGCCCAGCUAGUCAGUGACAAACUAAAAGGAAGAAGGUGAUAUACCAUGCCAUUAAUUUUCUUUUCAGUUCCCAUGAUUUGGCUGUUUUAAGUGGUGGAAUGAUAAUGUAUUAUGUUUGUUUGUUGAACCUCGGGAAUAGCUUUGCAAAUAACAAACUUCAGUACAAAGAUGUCAAAGUUUUGAUAUAAACUGUACUAACUUAUAAUUGCAUAUUAUAAUUAUAGUGAACUAGAUAGGCGCUCACAUGCUAGUGGUCUGCGGUGACAUUUUAAGCUCUUGUUUAUUGUCUUUAAUGCCAGUGUGUAGCAGCCAGCAAAAUUAGCUCUACUUCUUGGUGUGAAUUUAUGAUGGUUAUUUAGUUUAUUUUAUUUUUACACUGCAUCAUGCUAUGUUUCAUGAGUAUAAACAUGAUAUGCUUGGCAUGCAGUUUUGGGGGAAAAAGGAAGCAUCUCAUGUGUAAAUUUCGUUUGACCUUGCAUUUUACUGCUUACUAUUUACUAUACAUCCAGAAUUGUACUUGGAAGUGUCAUUAUAGUUCUUUAGAAGUGGGCUUUUGUGUCCAUCAGCCAUGAUUUUGUAGAGAUGCCAGUUGAAUAAAUCUGAUUCUCUAAUCUCGCAAGGAUAAUGAUUAACUUCUGUAUAUAUAGAUACUCCUACAGCAUGUAUAAAAAAGAUAAUUUGAGUCAUUUCUCAUAAUUGGAUCCUCUUUCUUUCAUGUACAUGAAUUAUUUCAGCUUAUUUGUAUGUAGAAAGCCUUGGUUUUAUUUUCUAGGCUAAUUCAACUUGUGCAAGAUGUAGGAAAGUGAACCAAUAAAAAUUGUUUAUUGAACCAAAUGUUUGUAGUGUUUCACUGGAUUAAAUCUGUGGGCUUGUCACUAAUCGGAUACCAUUUAGGGGACCUUAAUUUCUCCAGCUAGUUUCCCUCUUAUUUUGUGUAGUACAUGUAGAGAGCUUAGAAGGAAAAGCAAGCUCAAAUACAAGCUAAUUUAAUUCACUGGCUAGUACAGUAACUUAGCGCAUUCAACCUGCUUAUACCAAUUUGCUUAUUGCCGUAACUUAUAUCACUCUAUUUCUCGAUCCUGCUUGAAGGUGCAACUGUAACUUUGCAUAUGUGCUUGUUCAAUACAGUAGCUUCAAAAUGCGCUUGUGUAAUAUUUAGUGUGUGAUUGUGGCCUCGUGCUUGUGUUUCCAAAUGCAGAAGACAAUCAAAUGGUCAUCAAUUCUGUUUGCUUUACUUCGGUACAGGAAUAGCCUCACUACAAGAUAGGUACACCUACUAAUUACUGUUGAUAUUUGUUAAUAUCUGUACAGACUUUGCAAACUAUAUUUGGAUGAGAAGUAAGAGAAGCUUGCUACUGUCAAGAUGAUAAAAAAUGGACAUGUUCUCUACUAAAGUAGAGAUUACUCUAGAGAUGGUACUAGUUGCUCUAUGUUUCAGAACAUAUACGGCUGUUGUAUGUGGUUGUUGUCACAUCUUCCUGUUUAUAGACUUUGCACAUUACAUUUUGAUGAGAAGAUAAGCUUGCUACUGUUAAGAUGAUAAAAAAUGGACACCUUCUCUACUAUAGUAGAGAUUAGUCUAGAGAAAAUAUGCGGCUGUUGUAUGUGAUUGUUGUAACAUCUUCCUUAAGUUCUGAAUGCUGCUGUUGUAUGUAACAUCUUACGAUCUAUGGCAGCUGCAGAUUUCCCAAAGGUGAACAAGUUCACUAAGGUUUGGAAGAUUUUCAAGCUGAUGAAGAUUUGGAAGACCUACAAUGUCCUGCGUCUUGUUUGUUGAACCUAGACAUUUGCUCUGCUCAUUUUGGUGGUGGUUUGGCUGUGUGGCACACAUCUAGAAGCAUAUGUACAUCUUUUGUGGCACUACUUUAGUUUGGUUGUGGGGUAAACAUAUAUAUGUACUCCUUUCGUGGCACAACCUCUACAUAUAUUGUCGUUAUGUUUAUCAAAUGAAGUUUAAGGUUUUCGAUGAGGCCUAUAUGUUACAUUGGUUGAAGUGCGUGUAUAAAUUGUGUGAUAUGUCUUGAUUGUCUGGACAUAUAUAAUGGAUGGAUAUUACAUAAUAGCGAUGCCUAGAACAUUUCGCUAGUGAAAUUAACA
rnacentral:lncRNA from 1 species